CAUAAUUUUAACCGUAAUUUUAACCAAACACAUUAAAUUUUAAAACAAACCUCAUGAAAAGCACUUUUUAUUAAACUAUUUUUUUUAAACCAAAACCACAUCAACAACAAUACCAAACAGGUUUUCCUUCUCCUUCUCAUUGGGGGCUUCAAAAAGCUUAACAGUCCCCACCGCCAUCACCAUGAGAGCUAAGUGGAAGAAGAAGCGUAUGAGGAGAUUGAAGAGGAAGCGUAGAAAGAUGAGGCAGAGAUCUAAGUAGAUUUUCUCAUUUCCGAUUACUUUCUUCUUCUUUUCUUCUAGUGUGUUUUAAAUCAAACGGUGGAGUAUGUAGUUUCCCCUUGUGUUUUGAUUAAUCGGAUGAUGGGCUUUAUCUAUGGAUAUAUUUAUUUGUUUUCUUUGAAUGUUGAUGGGUUUGGUUUCUUUCCUUGAUAAUUUCCUUUGGGAUUUUAUCUGUUUAAAUGGAAUUGGAGCUGGAUUGAUAAGAUUGUCUGCUUGUGAUUAUCAUUGUUUGCUCUUUUUUUUGUCGGGUUUUGUUUGUGGGUUAGAUAGUAGUGAAACCACAUUGUUUCGAUAUGGUUAUGACAUCUCGGUUUGGGUCAUUUGGUUUGACAAUACAAUCCUGGUUUGAUUUUGCGUUUUAUUGUGAUUUGUGCUGAGAGAUUAUGAAAUCUUGGUGUGGUUAUUUGGAUAUCAAGUUGAUAAGUAAUUGUGUGUCUCCUCUCAUUUCGUCAUCUCGUUAUGCUCAAGUUGAUUUUUGGCGAUGCAAAUCAUGGAAGUUUUGAGGUAAUUGGUGGGGUGUUGUAGUUUUGGGGAUGAUUAGGUAAUGGGAUUUUGUGUGUUAUUGUUGUCGUGCGCAAGCUGAUUUGCUGCGAUGCAAAUGGAUGGGUUGUGGAAGUUCUGGUGUGAUUAUUGGGUUAUUAUUGAUCUGGAGUUGAUAAGUAAUGGGAUGUUUCGCACUUUUUCGCACUAUUUAGUCAGGCGCAGGCUGAGCUUCAGCUUUGUAAAUGGUUAGCGGCUAGCAUUGCUUGAUUUUACUCUUGUUACUUGCAUUAUGUAUGAUUAUAAGCAGUUAGCAUUUGUUGCAUCGAACUGUAGGCUGUAGUUUUUUUAAUGUGAGAGUGCUUAUGUAACUGAAAAACUGUAUUGCUGUGCUUAGAUUCAGUAUCUUUCCUGCCAAAGAGGACUAUGUAUGUUUCGUUGCUGAUUGUAGAACAGAAGCAACUGAUAUGCAUCAGAUUAACCAAGUCCUUGUUAGUGUUAAUGAGGAUGUCUAGGAGUACGGCAUAUGAAGUGAUUGCAGGACUGCAACCAGUUCUGCAUUGCUCAUAGCUAAUGAGGCUUCGAAUUGCAGUCCCAGAUGUUUCAUCAAUAACAA